UUUCUGACCUAUCAGCUGCCGUCGGUAAGGUCGUGGCUUACUGAGGCAAUAACGGGUAACGGGGAAUUAGGGUUUGAUUCCGAAGAGGGAGCCUGAGAAAUAGCUACCACGUCUAAGGAUGGCAGCAGGCGCGCAAAUUACCCAAUCCCGACAUGGGGAGGUAGUGAAAAGAAAUAUCAACUCAGGGUUAUUACUCUGUGAUUGAAAUGAGUGUAAUGUUUAAGCAAAUGCAAUGAGCAAUUGGAGGGCAAGUCUGGUGCCAGCAGCCGCGGUAAUUCCAGCUCCAAUAGCGUAUAUUAAAGUUGUUGCAGUUAAAGCGUCCGUAGUCG
rnacentral:rRNA from 1 species